GUGGGGAAUUUUGGACAAUGGGCGCAAGCCUGAUCCAGCAAUGCCGCGUGCAGGAAGAAGGCCUUCGGGUUGUAAACUGCUUUUGUACGGAACGAAAAGGCUCUGGUUAAUACCUGGGGCUCAUGACGGUACCGUAAGAAUAAGCACCGGCUAACUACGUGCCAGCAGCCGCGGUAAUACGUAGGGUGCAAGCGUUAAUCGGAAUUACUGGGCGUAAAGCGUGCGCAGGCGGUUUUGUAAGACAGAGGUGAAAUCCCCGGGCUCAACCUGGGAAUUGCCUUUGUGACUGCAAGGCUGGAGUGCGGCAGAGGGGGAUGGAAUUCCGCGUGUAGCAGUGAAAUGCGUAGAUAUGCGGAGGAACACCGAUGGCGAAGGCAAUCCCCUGGGCCUGCACUGACGCUCAUGCACGAAAGCGUGGGGAGCAAACAGGAUUAGAUACCCGGGUAGUCC
rnacentral:rRNA from 1 species